GGGGGCAACCCUGAUCCAGCAAUGCAGCGUGAGUGACGAAGGCCUUAGGGUUGUAAAACUCUUUCAUCGGUGAGGAUAAUGACAGUAGCCGAAGAAGAAGGACCGGCUAAUUCCGUGCCAGCAGCCGCGGUAAUACGGAAGGUCCUAGCGUUGUUCGGAAUUACUGGGCGUAAAGCGCAUGUAGGCGGAACAGAAAGUUAGAAGUGAAAUCCCUGGGCUCAACCUAGGAAUUGCUUUUAAAACUUCUGUUCUGGAAUUCAGGAGAGGAAAAUGGAAUUUCCAGUGUAGAGGUGAAAUUCGUAGAUAUUGGAAGGAACACCAGUGGCGAAGGCGAUUUUCUGGACUGAUAUUGACGCUGAGAUGCGAAGGCAUGGGUAGCAAACGGGAUUAGAUACCCCGGUAGUCCAUGCAGUAAACGAUGGGUGCUAGUCGUCGGACUUUUGUUCGGUGUCGUAGCUAACGCGUUAAGCACCCCGCCUGGGGAGUACGGUCGCAAGAUUAAAACUCAAAUAAAUUGACGGGGACCCGCACAAGCAGUGGAGCAUGUGGUUUAAUUCGACGCAACGCGAAGAACCUUACCAGCGUUUGACAUGGAAAGUACCGGUUACAGAAUGGUAACCUUCAGUUCGGCUGGCUUUCGCACAGGUGCUGCAUGGCUGUCGUCAGCUCGUGCCGUGAGGUGUUGGGUUAAGUCCCGCAACGAGCGCAACCC
rnacentral:rRNA from 1 species